rnacentral:SRP_RNA from 1 species
CGUGGGCGCGGUGGCACAUGCCUGUAGUCCCCGUUACUCGGGAGGCUGAGGUGGGACGAUCGCUUGAGCCCAGGAAUUCUGGGCUGUAGUGUGCUAUGCCGAUAAGGUGUCCACACUAAGUUCGGCAUCAAUACGGUGACCUCCCAGGAGCGGGUGACCACCAGGUUGCCUAAGGAGGGGUGAACCAGCCCAGGUUGGAAAUGGAGCAGGUCAAAACUAAAACUCCCAUGCUGAUCAGUAGUGGGAUCGCGCCUGUGAAUAGCCACUGCACUCCAGCCUGGGCAACAUAGUGAGAACCCGUCUCU